AUUGAACGCUGGCGGCAUGCUUUACACAUGCAAGUCGAACGGCAGCACAGGGAGCUUGCUCCCGGGUGGCGAGUGGCGCACGGGUGAGUAAUACAUCGGAACGUGUCCUGUUGUGGGGGAUAACUGCUCGAAAGGGUGGCUAAUACCGCAUGAGACCUGAGGGUGAAAGCGGGGGAUCGCAAGACCUCGCGCAAUUGGAGCGGCCGAUGCCCGAUUAGCUAGUUGGUGGGGUAAAGGCUCACCAAGGCGACGAUCGGUAGCUGGUCUGAGAGGACGACCAGCCACACUGGGACUGAGACACGGCCCAGACUCCUACGGGAGGCAGCAGUGGGGAAUUUUGGACAAUGGGGGCAACCCUGAUCCAGCCAUGCCGCGUGCAGGAUGAAGGCCUUCGGGUUGUAAACUGCUUUGUCAGGGACGAAAGGACCGUGUUAAUACCAUGGUCUGCUGACGGUACCUGAAGAAUAAGCACCGGCUAACUACGUG
rnacentral:rRNA from 1 species